ACCUGGGUGGCUCAGUGAGUUGAGCGUCUGACUUCGGCUCAGGUCAUGAUCUCGCGGUCUGUGAGUUCGAGCCCCACAUCAGGCU
rnacentral:tRNA from 1 species